GAACAAGCUCUGGAGCCAGAAGGAAGUGAUUACUGGAUAAACACUGUACGGGAAAGUGAUGACUGGAUGUUCCAGUGGGAUGACGGUCAGUUACAACAGACCAAAGGAAGCAAUAAGAUGACUGUGAAGCAAUCAUUGAGAUGAGAGAAGCAUUGGAUCCAGUGAUUUGUUGAUUUAGAGGAGUACUCAAUACAAACACCGCAGGAUGGGCAAGGGGCAGUCCAAGUCUUAUGACUUCACUGGGGAGUCAGUGAAGAAAAGGUCAGGAAGUAAGAAGUCCAACGGAGUCGAAGCACGGACGUCCAAAACUUUUGACCCGGAUACAAUAAAUUCCCCGCAAUCCGGGAAGGCAGAGAACGGGAACGGCCAGUCCCCGACAAGAACCAGUCUUCCAGUGACCAAGGAAGAACCUACAAAAGACACUAGUGCUGACGACAGUGCAGUAAAUAGUGAACAAUCCCCCACAGAUAACAAACAGUUGCAGGGGUCCAAUGACACUCCCCAGGAAUCUGUGACAGAGACUGUUGAGAAGUCUGACAGCAGUCAAGUUGUUAACUCUGAGGAGAAUACUCAGCAAACAUCUGAUCCUCCUGUAGAAGAGGACAACACAGAGGAGGAGCAAAAACCAGAAUCCACGACACAAGGUCCCCUAGAAGAAGAGGACCUUGAUGAAAAGAUCCAAAAAGAGGCUGAGGAAUCCCAAAAAGAGGCUGAGGAUUUGAAGGAGAACCAGAUUGAGGAGUCAGAGGAGCUUGUUACAAAGGAGGAAGAAUCAGCUUUAGAGAAAGACACUUCAGAGGAACCACCAAAGGAAAGCUUAGAGGAGCCAGCAGAGGACCACACUGAGGAACAACCAGAGGACCAGAUUGAGGAUCAUACUGAGGAGCCAGCACAAAACACAGUAGAGGAAGAAGUUACUGCUGAGGAAACUAAACCUGAACAGACUGAAGACAGUGACAAAGAGGAACCAGACAACAGAACAGGGGAACUAGUUCAGCAAGCCGCUGUCAGUGUAGAGAGUGAGCAGAAUCCAGAAGAAUCUGUUGAUAAACCCGAGGACGAACCUGAACCAGAACCCGAGGAAGACAUGGCCGACACAGUGUCAGGGGUGGUCUGUAACGAGUCCGAUCUCAAGGACGGGGAUAUGAAGGAGUUUGAUCUCGGUGAAGGAAAAGUACUAAUUGUCAGGGAAGGGUCAGAGUUCUAUGCCCUCGGUACAAAGUGUUCACACUAUGGGGCGCCACUAGUCAACGGGAGUCACUGCAAGGGCAGAGUUCGCUGUCCCUGGCAUGGAGCCUGCUUUAGUGUGAAGACGGGGGACAUUGAGGACUUUCCUGGCCUGGAUAGCAUUCCAAAGUUCAAGGUUGAAGUUGAUGGUGGUAAGGUUAAGGUCACAGCUAAGAAGUCUGCACUGGCUGACCCUAAAGUUCAGCGUACUAUGUGUAAAGCCUCGAAGUCUAGCAACAAGAAAGUCUUGAUCAUUGGAGGAGGGCCGUCCUCAGUUAAAUGCGCAGAAACGCUGCGACAGGAAGGAUUCACAGGGGAAAUCACCAUAGCGACACAAGAAAACAACCUUCCUUAUGAUAGACCAAAACUUAGCAAGGCAAUGGAUAUCACAGCUGACAAGAUAGCUCUCAGAAAUGCUGAUUUCUAUUCCAAGGCAGACAUCACCAUUCUAAAGCAAAAACAGGCUACUGCAGUAGAUGUUUCCAACAAAACAGUGACUUUCCAAGAUGGCAGCUCUGUACCUUAUACUUCAUUAGUCAUUGCCACUGGAGGACGUCCCAGAAUGUUGCCUAUCCCAGGCACUGAUCUACAAAACGUGUAUCAGCUCAGAACUCCAGAGGACGCGAAUCAGAUCGCAGAACGAGCUGCGGGAAAAAAUGUGGUCAUCAUCGGGUCCUCAUUCAUUGGUCGGUUAUUUAUAGUAUCAUAACAAAUUAUAAAUCUUGAUGAUAAUUUGAUGAACUUACGUAACAUAAUGUACUACAUGUACCAGUGUCUGAAUUGUUUGAUUGUUUACAAUAUAUUAUACUUGAAUCAUCUUUAAAGAAAUGAAUGCAAGGAAACAUAGAGUACAUGCUGAUAAUUUAUCAAUGCAUUUACUUGUAUUUGGAUUAUACGAAUAUUUGAAAAUACACCUUUGUUUAAGCUGCUUGGAAUAUUAAUGGUCACUGUUCCUUGGAUUUUUAAAAUUACUUUUAGUAUAUAACAUGAGAUUAUGAUAAAUGUUAUUGAAUAUUACUAGCAACCAAUUUCAUAAUUGUACCUACCUAUUACUUACACUGGUUAUAAACAAGUAUUAUUUCAGUUGUUGACAUCAUUUUUGAUAGAAUCAUGUGGCUUUAAGUAAAAGUAGAUCAUCAUCAUGUAGAUUUUAGGAAAUCCAUUUUAUGGGCGAAAAAAUGUGUUUUGGGGAAGAAAAUAGAGUAGAUGCUUUUGAGAAUGGUGAAAAUGUUGACAUUGCCUAGCUUUCAGUAGAGUUCUAGAGAGGUGCGAGAGAAGAUAUCCUGAUAGAGAUGUUCACAUUGUGUAACCUUUAGUCUGGUUCACAUUGUGUAACCUUUAGUCAGGUUCACAUUGUGUAACCUUUAGUCUGGUUCACAUUGUGUAACCUUUAGUCUGGUUCACAUUGUGUAACCUUUAGUCUGGUUCACAUUGUGUAACCUUUAGUCUGAUUCAAAUCGUGUAACCUUUAGUCUGGUUCACAUUGUGUAACCUUUAGUCUGGUUCACAUUGUGUAAUCUUUAGUCUGAUUCACAUUAUGUAACCUUUAGUCUGGUUCACAUUGUGUAACCUUUAGUCUGGUUACUUAAUGCUAUGGCUACAUUCUGGGUUGACUCUGUUGUACAGGGAUGGAGGUGGCCUCCGCUCUUGCUGGCACCGCGACCUCAGUGUCGGUGGUGGACAUUAUCAAGGUCCCCUUCCAACUGGUUCUGGGCGAGAAAGUAGGAUCAGUGUUACAAAAGAUGCAUGAAGACAAUGGAGUCAAGUUUUUUUUUGAGCGGGGAAUCAAGGAGUUUGUGGGGAGUGAUGGGAAGGUCACUGAGGCUGUUCUCUCCGAUGACACCCGCUUGCCGGCAGAUUUGUGCAUUAUGGGUGUUGGAGUUGUUCCGGCUACCGACUUUAUCAAGGGAUCUGGUGUAGAAAUGACUGAUAGAGGAUUCCUUCCUGUUAAUAAAAUGAUGCAAACUAACCAACCUGAUGUGUAUGCAACUGGGGACAUUGUAGAGUUCCCACUCUUCAGUGUUGGAGACAAAAAUGUUAACAUCCAGCAUUGGCAGAUGGCACAUGCUCAUGGAAAAACUGCAGCUCUUGGAAUCCUGGGUAAAGAUGAGCCAAUCAGAAGUGUUCCCUUUUUUUGGACAGUGCAAUACAAGAAAAGUAUACGUUACACAGGUUACGGCCCCGGCUAUGAUGAUGUCAUCGUACAUGGUGACCUAGACGCUCCCAAAUUCAUCGCCUACUACACAAAAGGAGACGAGGUCAUCGCUGCUGCCAGCCUGAACUUUGACCCCUAUGUAGCCCGAUUGGCUGACUUGAUGUUGGCAGGAGAAAAAGUCCUGAAAAGUGAAGUCCAAUCAAGUGCAGAUGGAUGGAUGUCCAAGUUUGAAAAAUUAACCAUAAAAGCUUGAAGAAAGUGUUACAUAAACAGACAUAUACUGUUGGACUGUAUCAUGUUACAUCCAGUGUGACUGCGCAUAUAUUCUUGCUGGCAUCAAAGUUUGCUGCAAGAAGAAAAUUCGUCAUCCAUUGAUUUUGUUUUUGGAAACUUCUGUUUUAGAAUUCUAUGAAUUUUCAGCAUAUUAGAAAGAGCUUAUUUUUCAAAUAUUGUAGAAAGAGUUGUGCAUGGUUCGUGGGAUCAGAAUGUUUUAUACAUGUAGACUGUGAGCACAUGUAUGCAUCUAUUAGUACACAUUGCAAUGUUUUCUAUUUGUAAUAUAGCUAUAUAUAUAUCAUAGAAUAUGUUAUUCAAUAAAUUUAUACAAGU
rnacentral:misc_RNA from 1 species